UAGGAGGACCCGGGAAAAAGUCUCGGAGUCUGCAGGACUCGCCAGCGGGCAGGAAGCUCAUUGAAAGCGAUGCAGGCACUGCCCCCGCCCCCGAGUGGCCUUUUCUCUUCCCCACAGUAACCGAGUAACUGAGCUUGCUCUGUGACAGGCUCUGCUGGCAUCACACCAUUUAACCACCCCACGAAGCAGGUCCUGUUGUUACCGUUAUUGGUGCUGUUGUUGAGAAACCUGCGACAGAGAGGUGGUGUCUUGCUAUGUUGCCCAGGCUGGUCUCAAGUGAUCCUCCUGCAUCAGCCUCCCAAAGUUCUGAUAUUACAGACGUGAGCUACCCUGCCCAGCUGGAAGUAUGACUUUGGACUCUGGGAAGUUCUGCUCCGUGAAGAGAUGUUCAAGUGUUAAAACUACAGUGGUUGUCUGUGUGUCAGGGGCGGAUAGUUCUGAAACUCAAGGGUCUUAACCUUGCUGUUACUGUUGGGAUAUUCCACGGAGGACCUCAUGCAGACCUGGCCUAUGGAGGUGCUCACUGGGGACACUGGCAGGCAUGCCACGGAGUAGCUUGUCACGUACAGCUCAGCGAUGCACCCCAGGGGUCCCAAAUAAUUCACAACAAACUGCAAUUGUUUCUUUGAAGAGCUGUGAAGCUGCCCUGCUUACGAGUAGACCAUGCAGCCUGCCAUCUUUGCUCCCUGGCAGCUACUCAGCAGCUUGUCCAAGGAUAGGAGAACAAAGUUCACCGGUCCCAUGCGUUUGAAAUUCCUUUCCUCUCUCCUCUCUCCCUUUCCUAUUUUGCCUAUAUGGAUGAAAUCAAUCUUUGAUUGCUCUUCCGAGUGUACAGAUAAAAUAAUGUGCAAACAAGCAACUCUCUGCCUGACUGUACUUGUAUUUCCUUGGAUUUUCCUGGUAAAUGGUGAAUUCCUGGGCUGGGUCCUGUUCCUGCUUGUCUAGGGUAAUGUCACCUGUCUACUUUGAGGGAUGCCGUA
rnacentral:lncRNA from 1 species